ensembl:lncRNA
CUGGGCCAUUAACUGGGAGGAAGGGGGACUCAGGCUUGACCGAGACAUUUGGGUAAAAUGUGAGGUCCAAAUUCACCCAAACCAAUAAGCAGAGCUUGCACUGCCCCUCUGUCCACAGCAACUGGCCUUCCCUUGAUUUCCGGGACAGACAGAAUGGCUGUUCUCAUUGCCAGUAAGUUAAAAUAGAAUUCCAAAGGAUUCAAAUAAUGCAAAAAGAAGAGAGAAAAGGUGAAGAGAAAUGAAACUCAAGGGGAAGGCAGACACUCAGCUUUUACAGCGGCAUGCUUAGACCCAGCCGUUCUAGCAGCUGUGCAGGCAUGAGCGGGCAAGGCCUUCCAGGGUGUUACCGGACGGACGGCUUUGAAUAAAGCAGGUGGCCUUUCCUAGUGGGCGGGGCCUCUCCCAGGCCGCUGUAGGCCUGAGCAGAGAAAAUGCCCCGCAUGCAGCGUCUCCCUGGUCUCCAGCUCGGAGUCACCUGCAAAUCUCAGACUCUCCAGACCCCAAGCCGUGGAGAUGGUUCCUUCGGUAAAUCUUUUUCCUUAUACGUGUGUGUGUGUGUGUGUGUGUGUGUGUGUGUGUGUGUGUGUGUGUGUGUAUCUGACCGACGCGGACCCAUGAGAGAGACCCCAGCACUACAGCAAACCCACGGGAGACAUGAAAACUGGCUCGGCCCAUAGGGCUAAGAGCUGAACAGGCCCCAGUCAGGGCAUGCGCCCCUCCCUACGUCAGACGCUUUCUGCUUGUGCGCAGGCGUGUGUCUGUGCGUGGUGCUCAGUGUAGAGCUCCGGGCACCCACCACUAAACUACACCCCUGCAGUCCUCCUUUUUAUUUUUUAUCUUGGGACAGGAUCUCCCUAAGUUGCUCAGAUGGGCUGGGACUUCCGAUCCUCCUGCCUCUGCCUCCCUCGGUGCUGGGAUUACAAGCGUGUGCCAUGCUGCCUGGCAAAAGUUUCUUGACGAAUGAGGCUAUCGGUACUCAGCUCUCUCAAUAUAAGGCUCCUCUGAUGACCGAGUGCCUAAAACUCGAGAACACUCUUUCCAACUCCAAUUAACUUACAAAUGUAUAUGAGCUUCACUUUUAAAGAUUAUAAUGAUUUACUGUUCUGACCCCAGACCGACAGAUAAAAACUUCACCUACGUGUUGGAAAUCUCUUAUCUUCCAGGAAAAAGUCACUCAACUGCCGAGUGGAGGUGGGUAGAUUACUCUGGGUCCGAAGUCCUUUGAUCCAGGCUCUGUUACCUUGUUUUGGAGCACAUAGGAUUUCAGCUCAUACAGUAUUAAAAUGGGCUGAUUUUCAGAGCUGAUGGUAACAGGCUGUACGGAAACAGCUCGGGGCGAUGAUGCUGUCGCCUGUCUUAGGGAGAGUUGCUCGGGGCCCCUCAACCCUCUUUUCUGCAGUUGUUUUCGCCUGGAUUCUUCCGUCUGGCUCCCCAGUUCCAUGGUGCUAGUUAGGAGCCCUGCUCCGCUGUGUCGCUUGGUGCUCAGCAGGGCCACCGCUUCUGUAAAUGCUUGCACUUCUAAAGUAAUUUUGAAAGCCCUUGGAAUAGACUGCAGGUGGCUUUUCUCUGUGGGAUGACGUACUUAAGGGACUCAGAUUCCCUGCAGAGGUCCUUGCCUCUCCUGCUGUCCCUCCUGUCCCCCGUGCCCUCUCCUUCGUGGUUUAUCCAGAGCCAGGGCACAGUGGAGACAGACCGAGUCGUCUGGUAGAUUCGGCACCACUGCUGCAGGAAGACGAGGAGGAGAAGGCCGGGAGUGCUCUGAGUUCAGCUCACUGGGCGUCAGGCUCUGAGACUGGACGGGGCACGAGAUCCAGGGGCGGGGGCAGUGCUAAGCAGGCCCUCCGUGGCCCAGCGCGCCACCCCCCACCAGGCAUGUACGUGGGUCUGCGUGUCCCUUCUGUGACACUGCCAUACCCACCUUGGGCAUCACUGCUGCCUCUGCACAGAUUACAACGGUGCACGUCGGGCAUUCACAGCAUGCCAUGGCUGUCUGUCCUCUGCUUCACAGCCGAGGACACUGGCUGAGGGUCAGGGAGCCGAGGCAGGCAGAGCCUGCUCAGCACUGCGACCUCCAGUGCUCCAGUGCCACUCUCGUCGCAGGCUCGGUGACUCCAAAUGUUUUGCUAACACUGGCACAGGCCUCCAGCCCUUCAGUCCCACAGAGCGAGCGGAGGGAGGCUCCCAAGGAGAGAUCAGAUAAGGCAUCUGAAAGAAAGAAGUUAAUUAGUUUUCCGGAUGAUUAGAGAGCUUAUUCCUCUUUUGCUUGAAGGAACGCUUUGCCUGAGUUAAUAAAGCGAAGGUGGGCGCCUCUUGCAUGGCAAAACCUUCAGCCCCAGCCCUUUGACAGCCAGAGUGGCCAGGGAGGGCUCAAAAGGCGAUUGAAUAAUGCUCUUCCCCGCCCUGGGCAUUGUACUUGGUGACUGAGUCGAAGCACAC